CUAUCGGUCCCCCCGCAACGAUCAGCCGUGAACCCGGUCAGGCCUGGAAGGGAGCAGCCGCAGCGGUGACAUUGUGUGCCGGGGUGUGGCUGGUAGGGUC
rnacentral:SRP_RNA from 1 species